UAAUCCGCUGAAGGUAGAUUAAAUCGUUCAUUCUUACAUUCCGUUGACACUGCAUUAUUAGCUUCUUUAUGAUGUGAGCCUUGCAGCUUAGCUGAUUGGAGUGAACACAAUU
rnacentral:snoRNA from 1 species